CGUCACUGUCCUGCGACGCUGAGGAUUUUCCCUGAGACGGAGAAGAAAGCCUUACGUUUCACCUUAAAGACAAAUGUCUCUACAUGUUGUUGAAGGAACACCCAGCAAGAAGCGAAGACCCAACUGGACAGACCAGGAGUCUCUUCUUCUUGCUCACUUAAUGCAGGAGAGGAAAGACAUUGUCAGAGGGAAGUACAGUACUGGAGUUUCAAUCAAAGCCAAGAGACAUGCCUGGGAAGAGAUGGCUCAAGCCAUCAAUGCUGCUUUUCCACAGGUUCAGCGCACAGUUUCUGACUGUAACAAGAAAUGGGAAAAUCUGCUGGCGAAGGCAAGGGAGGAAAUCAAACGACAGAAAAGGCAAGCGGGUAAAGAUGCAGUCCUAUCCAUUGAACAGUUCAGUGCCGUGACCCAAAUAGUUAUUACAGUGAUGAACCUCUCAGACAUGCUGCAACAGGACAAAGACGACUCUUCAGUCUCGGAGCUGAUGGAAACUGAACACAACAGCUCUGAUAAAGACGGAAAUGCUCACACAGUAAAUGAAAGAUUCACAAACAAGUGUCCGUCGCCUGAACAUGAGCUCCCGACAUAUUCAGGUCCAUCCAUCUGUCCAGCAGCACAAAAGACGACUUUUUCCAACACCGCAAAAUCAUUCACUGUGCAGCUUGGCACUCCUCAUGCGGUUGUCUUGACUGACUCUGGAGAACAUCUGGGUAGUUCUUGCUCCACCUGUCCACCAUCAGCACACUGCACAAAUCUGCAGGAGCGAAUGGAUUUGGAAAUGUCUGUGCUGAGAAGACAAGAAGAAGUCCUGAAGCUUCAACAGGAAUAUUACACACUUAAAAUAAAGCUGAUGAAAAAGCAAAUGGAAGAGUCACCUCAAAAGGACUGAAAAAGCGAUGCACCUGUAUGUGAUUUGUGCAAUUCUACAGUUUAUUUAGGAGACUCUUUUAUCCAAAGCGACGUACAGUUAGCCUAGCCACGCUAUACCCAUGUUUCUGACGGCACAAAGGUCUAGGGAAGCUCGACAGGGAGGGAGGCGGGCUAAAAGGUUGUCUAUCAAAUCCCUCUGCAGCAAUUGGGUAGGUAUACAACCAAUCUGCGCAACAAAUAGGCUGACGGAGUUCCUAGAGCACCGGCGGAUUGUGGCUAAGUCCCAUUAGCUUCCCAACCAGCGGGAGCCAACUGGUAUAUUAAGGAUUUGCCAUAUCCCGUCGGCAUAAGUCCAAAUAUGUCUUUCUUCUCAAUGAAACACUUCAGUGCCGUCCUUUGUUUAUCUUUUAAGUAGAAUUUUAGCUUCAAAUCUUUAAGGGCUGUGGCCAAAGCCGAGUCGAAAGUUAACUGUUUAUUGUGCGCUGGUUGUUUCUGUCAGAAUCGUCGCGCCUCUGUCGUCACUUCGUUACGCCCGCCUUCUGACUCUACACUUCAUGGUGAUUGGUCCGGCCAGUUUUAGGAGCAUCCAGCCUCGAGCCUUAUGGAGGGUAACUAGACUCACCCUGGCAGAGAAUUAAAUUCGUUGCCUUGGGUUGUCUAGCGCGGCUAGGCUAACAUACAGUGCCUAUCAUAAGUAUUCACCCCCUUUGAUGUUUUACCCUUUUAUUGCUUUCAUAAAUCAAUCAUGGUCAAUAAACAAAACAAAAAAAAUAUUGGAAAAAACUCUUUAAUGUCAACGUGAAAACAGAUUGCUAUAAAGUAAUGUUAAUGAAAGAAAAUUAUAUAAAUAAAAAUAAUUGUUUGCAUAAUUAUUCACCCCCUUCAAGUCAGUAUUCAGUAGAUGCACCUUUGGCUGCAAUCACAGCAGUGAGUCUGUGUGGAUAGGUCUUUUUGUUAAAAAAAGCCAAAUUUUAUUGACCAUGAUUGAUUUAUGAAAGCAAUAAAAGGGUAAAACAUCAAAGGGGGUGAAUACUUCUGAUAUGAACUGUAUAUCUGAGAGUAGAUACAACACAAUAUGACCACUGAGACUUUAAGCAGUGGGAUUCAUCUGUUUUACAGUUCAAAUGUGUAACGUUUUCUGUACAGCACAGUGCGAUGGAACAGAGAAACGCUUUUAAUGUCGUUGAAAAAUCUUUCCAUAUUCCGCUUUGAGAAACAAACGUCAGAUUUGUUCCGUCACGCUAAUGAGACGGCAGUGCCACUUCUGUCCUCAUCAUUCCAGUAAAAAAUAUUUUGUGACCUGGUCAGCUAGUAACGUUCAUAUUUUAGUACAUCUGCAAAUGCACAAAUUGAAUUUAUUUUGGAGAACGCUGCUGGCCAUGAUAGCGACCAAUGUGCCUCAUGUUGGGCUGAGGAUUUAUGGUCUAUGAGACAUGUUGGAUAGUUUCCAACGCUUUUUCAAGGCCUUGUAUUCAGAAACUGUGCCAUUUUUGUGCUGGACCGUGAUGCUGCAAGACAACCUCUGGCUCGUAGUAGUGUGUGUGUGUGUGUGUGUGUGUGUGUGUGUGUGUGUGUGUGUGUGUGUGUGUGUGUGUGUGUGUGUGUGUGUGUGUGUGUGUGUGUGUGUGUGUGUGUGUGUGUGUGUGUGUGUGUGUGUGUGUGUGUGUGUGUGUGUGUGUGUGUGUGUGUGUGUGUGAGUGUGAAAAUGAUUUUUGUGUUUAGCUUAAGUUGUCGUUUUUCUGUGAGAAAGUCUUUUAUUCCUAGUGUGCGUUAAUGGUUCUGGUCAAAGAGCAAUUUUGUCUCUUCCAGGCAUCCAUAUAGCUGAAACCACAGUCAGUUUUAUUACCGCUGUACAGUCUGGUAGAUGAUGACUGUGUAUCAGAGUUAACCAAAACUUGUUAAAUUACAUAGUUUUUGCUAGAAUUUUUGUUUGUUGUUCUACUUGAUUACAGUCAUUACAAAAGCGUUCUUAAUUUUUUCGUAGCACUCUGUUUCCUACAGACCUAUCAUUUGUUAUUUGAGUUGUUAAAAAAGUAAUCCAGUGUGGUGUGCUGUGUCGUCUGUUUAGACUCUGAACAGACGACAGUCUAAAAGUUAGACUAAGUUGAAUGCAAUGUGAAUGUUGUAGAGUGAGAUACAUCUUGAAUUAAUGAAUUUGUCAUGUCACAUUUUAUUGCCAUUUCAAUCUCUGAACAAAACAUGAAAAAAGUGCUGUAAUUCAUUAAAGAAAAGAACUGUUGAAAAAAGAAAGCAAAGUUCCCUUUAUCAACAUAUCCAGGAUGAAAUUUCAGUCUUAUGUAAAUCAAAUGGUGCAGUCCGCAACUCUAAAUGGUAAUUAGAUUUUCAAGGUAGUUUAUGUCACACUUCACUACUAUUACUGGUAAACAAUAUGGUUUAACAAUAGUUAAACAUCCUUCAAGUUAUUUUAAAUUAUUGUACACUGACAGUCAAUAGAAACUUUGAGACCAUAUUUUUCAACAUAAUUUUUUAUUUUGAAGCCUGAAACUAAAUUUCUUCAUAUGAAUCAUUUGUUUAGCAUACUAGCAUACAGAAACAAAAAUCUAAAGUUUCAAGAAUGAUUUCAAAAUAAAGAAUUUCACAAAAGAAAACGGCACCUGCCAAACACAAAGUCACAACAGUCAACACCGAGUAUGGCCUCCAUUUGCUUCGAUGCAGCCAGCAAUCCGUCGGCGCAUGCUUUGGACCAGGCUUCUGAUUGUGGGUUGGGAACAGCCCAUACGCCUGGCUACAUCACUGUAGCUCAAACCGGCCUCCACCAUACCCAGUGCCCGGAGACGUUGUUCAUGUGAUAGACGCGGCAUGAUGCUGUUCACUGGACUAACAAUGGUGGCCUUUUUUGGGCCUUUAUAUAGACCUUCAAAACCCAUUCUCAAAUUGUGCAGAUACUCACUGAGUCAUGCUUGGUGUGGAUUUGGUUCACUUUUGCAAAGUGACCAACCCAUGUGCAAUGAAUCAUGAUAAAAUGACAACUCCUCAUUAUCUCAACUACCAGGGCACUAGAUCAUCAGUAAAUCCACAAUGAAUAAUUACAACCCCCCUACAAGUAGAAUUCUGCGUACAUUUCUACCUCAAAGUUUCUAUUGACUGUCAGUAUACUAUAGUUGUACAAUACUAAGGUGACACAUCUGCACAAGUUCAUGCAACUUUUAAAUAUCUUUUCAGGUUUCCAUAUAACUAGAACUUCAGCUACAAAGUUCUCAAAUUUUUUAAAUCGACUCGUUCUUUGCGGGAAGUAUAAUUUGUGUUUUUCUUGCAGAAAACUACACUUCAUGUGUAUAUUUGAAAACUGUGAGAAAUGUAGUUUAUUUGCUGAUUCAUCCCAUUCAUUCUUAAGUACAAAUUUGGAAACUGUAAAUGUUUGACAUGUACCAAUAAACAUAUUCGUAAAAAUCAAACUUGAUCAUGCCAAUGUAAGUAAAGCUACAAUAAUGUCCUGUCUAGACAAAUGUAGUAAUUUGUGCAUAAUAUUUCUCAUAAAUCUGUUUAUUUGUAAGUGACUGGGGUUGGCACCCAGAUAUAAGCAGUGGGGCCCAGCGUGUUGAAUAAAAGUCUGUUAUUUGC